UAUCGCGAGUCUAGAGUUUGAUCCUGGCUCAGGAUUAACGCUGGCGACAUGCCUAAUACAUGCAAAUCGAACGAAGCCUUUUGGCUUAGUGGUGAACGGGUGAGUAACACGUAUCCAAUCUACCCUUAAGUUUGGGAUAACUAAUCGAAAGAUUAGCUAAUACCGGAUAAUAACAUUCACUUGCAUGAGUGAAUGUGGAAAGUUGCGUCUGCAACGCUUUUGGAUGAGGGUGCGACGUAUCAGAUAGUUGGUGAGGUAACGGCUCACCAAGUCAUUGACGCGUAGCUGUACUGAGAGGUAGAACAGCCACAAUGGGACUGAGACACGGCCCAU
rnacentral:rRNA from 1 species